UGAGGAAUUUUUCGCAAUGGGCGCAAGCCUGACGAAGCAAUGCCGCGUGCAGGAAGAAGGCCUGUGGGUCGUAAACUGCUUUUCUCAGAGAAGAAGAUCUGACGGUAUCUGAGGAAUAAGCUCCGGCUAACCCUGUGCCAGCAGCCGCGGUAAUACAGGGGGAGCAAGCGUUAUCCGGAAUGAUUGGGCGUAAAGCGUCUGUAGGUGGUUCGUAAAGUUUAAUGUCAAAUACCAGGGCUUAACCCUGGACCGGCAUUGAAGCACUCACGGACUUGAGUACGGUAGAGGCAGAGGGAAUUCCAUGUGGAGCGGUGAAAUGCGUAGAGAUAUGGAGGAACACCAGUGGCGAAGGCGCUCUGCUGGGCCGAAACUGACACUGAGAGACGAAAGCUGGGGGAGCAAAUAGG
rnacentral:rRNA from 1 species